rnacentral:rRNA from 1 species
AUUGAACGCUGGCGGCAGGCCUAACACAUGCAAGUCGAACGAGUGGCGGACGGGUGAGUAAUGUCUGGGAAACUGCCUGAUGGAGGGGGAUAACUACUGGAAACGGUAGCUAAUACCGCAUACCAUCGGAUGUGCCCAGAUGGGAUUCGCUAGAAGGUGGGGUAAAGGCGCACUUAGGCGACGAUCCCUAGCUGGUCUGAGAGGAUGACCAGCCGCCUGGGAACUGAGCUACGGUGCAGACUCCUACGGGGUGCAGCAGUGGAGAAUAUUGCACAAUGGGCGCAAGCCUGAUGCAACCAUGCCGCGUGUAUGAAGAAGGCCUUCGUGUUGUAUAGUACUUUCAGCGGGUAGGCGUUACCCGCAGAAGAAGCACCGGCUAACGCCGUGCCAGCAGCCGCGGUAAUAC